rnacentral:rRNA from 1 species
AUGCGUCCGCGCGGUUGGCGCAUGACCACCGCAUUUCAGGACACGUCCGGACACAACCCCAAAUCCCUACCCAAACGAACAGAAUUCGAACAAAACAGACGUCCGUUUAAAGUCGCGCGGUGGAGUUGGCCUCAAGCCUGGCUGGCUGGCUGCCAGGUUGUGAGUGGAGAUCUGGGCGUGGAUUUGGCCGGAGAAAGGGAAAGGGGUACUAUCAUUGCCCGGACCACUGUCACGGACAGGUUAAUCAGAAAAUAUUAUCACUGGGUCUACAUACAGGCUACAGCACAGGAAAUUAUUAUUCUCUCAGUGGUGGAUCUGGUUGACUUGGACUGUACUGUACCGGCCAGAUUCUGA